rnacentral:lncRNA from 1 species
GGACUCGCGUGAGUGCGCGUGCGUUGGGGCCUCAGCCUUUAUCUCCACUCUGCGGAGAUUCACGCCUGGAAAACGCUCUUCUGAGAGGAUCUGUGGAGGUCAACCCAGGAGAGAGAAGACAGGACUGAAGCACUGAAAGGGUCCUGCCGUUAAGGGCGCAGGAUUGUAUAGAAUAUAUAAUAGCAGUAGCAGCUCUGUUUACGGAGCAUUAACCUUACGUGGAGUUAUUUCCUGCAUUUCCUCCUUUCGUCUUUACAAGGUAGCCGUUUGGCGUCGUGAGGUAUGGAUGUUCCCAUCCCUAAUUUGCAAAAUAGGUAACUGAGGCUCAGGAGAGCUAGACUAGUUUGUGCACAGCCGAGAAGUGGUCAAGCUAGAAUGGGACCCCAGGUUUGUGCUCCCUACUCUCCACCGAUAACCUAUCAAAGGGCUUUGCAAGAGCUUUUGACUAAUCGUCUGUCAAUGGUUCUUCAUUCACGUAUUAAUUGCACAUCAGUAUGUGCCAAAUCUACUAGACAUUGGAGAAACAGUAGGAACAACACAUGGUACCGGCACAUGGAUCUUUCAGGAAAACGAAGUAGGUAAUAAACAGGAAAAAGCCCGAGUCUGAUGCUAAGAAGAACAUAAACAGGAUGCUGAGCGGAAAGUGACCAGAAGAGGUGUGCAGUUUCCAGGCCUGGCCCAUACAGACCUCCAACAGGUGCUCCCCUGUGCUGUUACUCCUUCUGCCAACUGGAAGCAGAUGGUGACCAGGCUCUGGAGAAGGCAAGGCCUGAAGAUGGGAGAUUCCUAAGUGGAGGAGAACUGUGCCUUACUGACCUAAAUAUCCACUCAGUAUUGUUAUGUGAGAAUAAAUAAACUUGUGUUGACCGUUUACUUACUUUGA